CGGAGGGCGCAAGCGUUGUUCGGAAUCAUUGGGCGUAAAGCGCGUGUAGGCGGCUUGGCAAGUCGAGUGUGAAAGCCCGGGGCUCAACCCCGGAAGGUCGCUCGAAACUGCCUCGCUCGAGUCCCGGAGAGGAAGGCGGAAUUCCCGGUGUAGAGGUGAAAUUCGUAGAUAUCGGGAGGAACACCAGCGGCGAAGGCGGCCUUCUGGACGGUGACUGACGCUGAGACGCGAAAGCGUGGGGAGCAAACAGGAUU
rnacentral:rRNA from 1 species